AGUGAACGCUGGCGGUAGGCCUAACACAUGCAAGUCGAACGGCAGCACAGUAAGAGCUUGCUCUUACGGGUGGCGGGUGGCGGACGGGUGAGGAAUACAUCGGAAUCUACUUUUUCGUGGGGGAUAACGUAGGGAAACUUACGCUAAUACCGCAUACGACCUACGGGUGAAAGCAGGGGAUCUUCGGACCUUGCGCGAUUGAAUGAGCCGAUGUCGGAUUAGCUAGUUUGCGGGGUAAAGGCCCACCAAGGCGACGAUCCGUAGCUGGUCUGAGAGGAUGAUCAGCCACACUGGAACUGAGACACGGUCCAGACUCCUACGGGAGGCAGCAGUGGGGAAUAUUGGACAAUGGGCGCAAGCCUGAUCCAGCCAUACCGCGUGGGUGAAGAAGGCCUUCGGGUUGUAAAGCCCUUUUGUUGGGAAAGAAAAGCAGCAGGUUAAUACCCCGCUGUUCUGACGGUACCCAAAGAAUAAGCACCGGCUAACUUCGUG
rnacentral:rRNA from 1 species